rnacentral:rRNA from 1 species
UACAGAGGUCUCAAGCGUUUGUUCGGAUUCAUUGGGCGUAAAGGGUGCGUAGGCGGCGCGGUAAGUCGGGUGUGAAAUCUCGGAGCUUAACUCCGAAACUGCAUUCGAUACUGCCGUGCUUGAGGACUGGAGAGGAGACUGGAAUUUACGGUGUAGCGGUGAAAUGCGCAGAUAUCAGGAGGAACACCGAUGGGCGAAGGCAGGUCUCUGGGCCAUAACUGACGCUGAGAAG